GGAUUUCAACUAAUACCAUAAAGGACACUUCCAAUGUUUGACAGAGUGGGAUCAUGGAGGAGGAAGUUCAUAAGAAAAUAGGACAGUAAGCAUAAGGAUGGAAUAGAUCAGAUACUGAUUUACAGCACAACUCAUUUCAGGAGAGUCUUAACGAUGGUCUUCACGUUGAGCUUCUUUAGGUCUGUAUACGACUGGCCACAUCCUACGAACAUGACAGGUGCUCCCGAAAUGUAGACCAUCGAAAGGGCCGCACCAACCUUAUCAUCAAUGGUAUCAAACUUCGUCAGCAAAAUACCAUCAAUCAGCCUCAGACUCUUUGUUGGUGAAAGGUCUAUGAGUUUCUGGUUGAACUUGGUCAGCUGAUCCACGGCAUCGUUCCCAACCAGGGCCUCUCCAACGAAGAGAACCAAAUCGGGGUUGUUAAGGUUGAUUAGUUUGGAGAGUGCUUUCAUUAAAGGGUCGUUGCCCUGCAUCCGACCAGCAGUGUCGACGAGCACAACAUCUGCUUUUUCACGAGCAGCAUGCUGAAUAGCUUCCUUUGCUACUAUGGCAGGAUCUUUUUCAUAUCCUUUCUCAAAUAUAUCAAUCUUAAGUCUGCAAGCAUGUGUUCGG
rnacentral:misc_RNA from 1 species